AUUGAACGCUGGCGGAAUGCUUUACACAUGCAAGUCGAGCGGCAGCGCGGGGGCAACCCUGGCGGCGAGCGGCGAACGGGUGAGUAAUACAUCGGAACGUGUCCUUAAGUGGGGGAUAGCUCGGCGAAAGCCGGAUUAAUACCGCAUAAGCUCUGAGGAGGAAAGCGGGGGCUCCGUAAGGACCUCGCGCUGUUGGAGCGGCCGAUGUCGGAUUAGCUAGUUGGUGGGGUAAAGCCCACCAAGGCGACGAUCCGUAGCUGGUCUGAGAGGAUGAUCAGCCACACUGGAACUGAGACACGGUCCAGACUCCUACGGGAGGCAGCAGUGGGAAUUUUGGACAAUGGGGGCAACCCUGAUCCAGCCAUUCCGC
rnacentral:rRNA from 1 species